rnacentral:lncRNA from 1 species
CUAGAUAUGCUAGGGUAAAAGAUUGUGGUUGUCCUGUUGCUGGGUCAAUAACUGGUUCACCUGUGGUACUAUCAAUUCUUCUUGCUGUUAAUAUAUUCGUUUUUAUCUCAUUACUUAAUAAUUUAUCCCACCAAGUUCUUAAUUCUCCAGUAAAUCCUAAUAUGAUAUUUUCCGCGGCAUCUCUUUCUGUAAUGCCAACUCUUUGUUUGUAAAUAUUUCCUACGAU